CACUUCCAGUGUAGCAGGUAAAAAUAUUAACUUGUUUUGAGACACCCUGUCUCAAAUUGUUUUCAGUUUGUUUGAUUUCAGUUUAAAAAUACCCUGCCUAAUGGGACAGCCACAGAGCAUGCUCAACUUGCCCAACUCCAUAACUGCCAUAAAUUAUCCGUAUUACACUUGAACAAUGGGAAUGAACCAGAAAGAUCCGUUUUAGGCAUUGGAAUUCCUUACAGCUUUGUUGUUUCCAGUAAAAAAAAACGAACACUUGGAGCAACUUUAGAGCAGGCUCAACUUGGCCUACUGCUCAGUUCACUUGCUCCAGGCAACAGGGCAACCCUUACAGAAUUGAGAAAAUUGUGAGUUUUUGUGCGGGACUGCGGGACUGAAAGGCAAUGAAUGCUGCCACCGGGAGGUGCUUCGCCUCUACUGGACCUAAACGUUUUCUCACAACUUUGACAUUGAGAUCAGGAUAACAAUAGUAAGGACACUGGUGGACUGUCGAGUCGAUUCUCAGACACUGUAGACAUGUCACCUGUGCACCAGGCAUUCUAUGGAGGCUGUCCCCAUGGUAUCAAUGGCAAACAGUGGCUGGAGAGACUGGACAUCAUGCUGCUGAGGCUGAAGACAAGGUUGAGGGACAAUCACACCCUCACCCUCGCAGUCUAGUUGGGGACACAUCCGCACUGGAGGAUGUCCCCCCCAUUAUCAUCAACCAUCACUCCUGUGUUCCAAUGGCACGUUGUGUUAGCUAAUCCAAAUUUACCAUUUUG